rnacentral:pre_miRNA from 1 species
AGUAGGACUGACUGAGACAAGACCGGUUUUUAAGCCUCUUGCGACGGCUUAAGACCGGAUGCGUGCUGUGGAUCAGGUCCUAUGCCGUCGCAAGAGGUUUAAAAGCCGGUCUUGUCCCGGUCGGUCCGAC